ACUCCUACGGGAGGCAGCAGUGGGGAAUUUUGCGCAAUGGGGGAAACCCUGACGCAGCAACGCCGCGUGGAGGAUGAAGGUCUUUGGAUUGUAAACUCMUUUCGAUCGGGAAGAUGAUGACGGUACCGGAAGAAGAAGCACCGGCUAACUCUGUGCCAGCAGCCGCGGUAAUACAGAGGGUGCAAGCGUUGUUCGGAAUUAUUGGGCGUAAAGGGCGCGUAGGCGGUGCGGUAAGUCUCUAGUGAAAACUCCGGGCUCAACUCGGAGCCUGCUGGGGAAACUGCCGUGCUUGAGUAUGGGAGAGGUGAGUGGAAUUCCCGGUGUAGCGGUGAAAUGCGUAGAUAUCAGGAGGAACACCGGUGGCGAAGGCGCUCAUCUGGCCCAAUACUGACGCUGAGGCGCGAAAGCUAGGGGAGCAAACGGGAUUAGAUACCCCGGUAGUCCUAGCCGUAAACGGUGCUCACUAGGUGUUGGAGGCAUCGACCCCUCCAGUGCCGCAGCUAACGCAUUAAGUGAGCCGCCUGGGGAGUACGGCCGCAAGGCUGAAACUCAAAGGAAUUGACGG
rnacentral:rRNA from 1 species